AAUGAGCCUGCGAGUUGUGGUGUCUGGCAAGGUUAAGCAAACGCGAAGCCGUAGCGAAAGCGAGUCUGAAUAGGGCGCUUAGUCAGAUGCUGCAGACCCGAAACGAAGUGAUCUAUCCAUGAGCAAGUUGAAGCUAGUGUAAGAACUAGUGGAGGACUGAACCCAUAGGCGUUGAAAAGCCCCGGGAUGACUUGUGGAUAGGGGUGAAAGGCCAAUCAAACUUCGUGAUAGCUGGUUCUCUCCGAAAUAUAUUUAGGUAUAGCGUUGUGUCGUAAUAUAAGGGGGUAGAGCACUGAAUGGGCUAGGGCAUACACCAAUGUACCAAACCCUAUCAAACUCCGAAUACCUUAUAUGUAAUCACAGCAGUCAGGCGGCGAGUGAUAAAAUCCGUCGUCAAGAGGGAAACAACCCAGACUACCAGCUAAGGUCCCUAAAUCUUACUUAAGUGGAAAACGAUGUGAAGUUACUUAAACAACCAGGAGGUUGGCUUAGAAGCAGCCAUCCUUUAAAGAAAGCGUAAUAGCUCACUGGUCUAGUGAUUUUGCGCGGAAAAUAUAACGGGGCUAAAGUAAGUACCGAAGCUGUAGACUUAGUUUACUAAGUGGUAGGAGAGCGUUCUAUUUGCGUCGAAGGUAUACCGGUAAGGAGUGCUGGAGCGAAUAGAAGUGAGCAUGCAGGCAUGAGUAGCGAUAAUUAAUGUGAGAAUCAUUAACGCCGUAAACCCAAGGUUUCCUACGCGAUGCUCGUCAUCGUAGGGUUAGUCGGGUCCUAAGUCGAGUCCGAAAGGGGUAGACGAUGGCAAAUUGGUUAAUAUUCCAAUACCAACAUUAGUGUGCGAUGGAAGGACGCUUAGGGCUAAGGGGGCUAGCGGAUGGAAGUGCUAGUCUAAGGUCGUAGGAGGUUAUACAGGCAAAUCCGUAUAACAAUACUCCGAGAACUGAAAGGCUUUUUGAAGUCUUCGGAUGGAUAGAAGAACCCCUGAUGCCGUCGAGCCAAGAAAAGUUUCUAAGUUUAGCUAAUGUUGCCCGUACCGUAAACCGACACAGGUGGGUGGGAUGAGUAUUCUAAGGCGCGUGGAAGAACUCUCUUUAAGGAACUCUGCAAAAUAGCACCGUAUCUUCGGUAUAAGGUGUGGUUCGCUUCGUAUUAGGAUUUACUCCGAAAGCGAAGAAACUUACAACAAAGAGUCCCUCCCGACUGUUUACCAAAAACACAGCACUCUGCUAACUCGUAAGAGGAUGUAUAGGGUGUGACGCCUGCCCGGUGCUCGAAGGUUAAUUGAUGGGGUUAGCAUUAGCGAAGCUCUUGAUCGAAGCCCGAGUAAACGGCGGCCGUAACUAUAACGGUCCUAAGGUAGCGAAAUUCCUUGUCGGUUAAAUACCGACCUGCAUGAAUGGCGUAACGAGAUGGGAGCUGUCUCAAAGAGGGAUCCAGUGAAAUUGUAGUGGAGGUGAAAAUUCCUCCUACCCGCGGCAAGACGGAGAGACCCCGUGGACCUUUACUACAGCUUGACACUGCUAUUUGGAUAAGAAUGUGCAGGAUAGGUGGGAGGCUUUGAGUAUAUGACGCCAGUUGUAUAUGAGCCAUUGUUGAGAUACCACUCUUUCUUAUUUGGGUAGCUAACCAGCUUGAGUUAUCCUCAAGUGGGACAAUGUCUGGUGGGUAGUUUGACUGGGGCGGUCGCCUCCCAAAUAAUAACGGAGGCUUACAAAGGUUGGCUCAGAACGGUUGGAAAUCGUUCGUAGAGUAUAAAGGUAUAAGCCAGCUUAACUGCAAGACAUACAAGUCAAGCAGAGACGAAAGUCGGUCUUAGUGAUCCGGUGGUUCUGUGUGGAAGGGCCAUCGCUCAAAGGAUAAAAGGUACCCCGGGGAUAACAGGCUGAUCUCCCCCAAGAGCUCACAUCGACGGGGAGGUUUGGCACCUCGAUGUCGGCUCAUCGCAUCCUGGGGCUGGAGCAGGUCCCAAGGGUAUGGCUGUUCGCCAUUUAAAGCGGUACGCGAGCUGGGUUCAGAACGUCGUGAGACAGUUCGGUCCCUAUCUGCCGUGGGCGUAAGAAGAUUGAAGAGAUUUGACCCUAGUACGAGAGGACCGGGUUGAACAAACCACUGGUGUAGCUGUUGUUCUGCCAAGAGCAUCGCAGCGUAGCUAAGUUUGGAAAGGAUAAACGCUGAAAGCAUCUAAGCGUGAAGCCAACUCUAAGAUGAAUCUUCUCUAAGCUCUCUAGAAGACUACUAGUUUGAUAGGCUGGGUGUGUAAUGGAUGAAAGUCCUUUAGCUGACCAGUACUAAUAGAGCGUUUGGCUUAUCUUUAAUAAAGCAU
rnacentral:rRNA from 1 species